rnacentral:rRNA from 1 species
GAUGAACGCUGGCGGCGUGCUUAACACAUGCAAGUCGAACGAUGAAGCCCAGCUUGCUGGUUGGAUUAGUGGCGAACGGGUGAGUAACACGUGAGUAACCUGCCCUUAACUCUGGGAUAAGCCUGGGAAACUGGGUCUAAUACCGGUUAGGAGCGUCCACCGCAGGGUGGGUGUUGGAAAGAUUUGGCGGUUUUGGAUGGACUCGCGGCCUAACAGCUUGUUGGGGGGGAAACGGCUCACCAAGGCGGCGCCGGAUAGGCCGCAUGAGAGGGUGACCGGCCACACGGGGACUGCGGGAGGGAGCAGUGUGCUACGGGAGGCAGUAGGGGGGAAUAUUGCACAAUGGGGGCAAGCCUGAUGCAGAGACGUCGCGUGAGGGAUGACGGCCUUCGUGUUGUAAACCUCUUUCAGUAGGGAAGAAGCGAAAGUGACGGUACCUGCAGAAGAAGCACCGGCUAACUACGUG